rnacentral:rRNA from 1 species
UAGUGGCGAACGGGUGAGUAACACGUGGGCAAUCUGCCCUUCACUNUGGGACAAGCCCUGGAAACGGGGUCUAAUACCGGAUAAUACCUGCCUGGGCAUCUGGGUGGGUUGAAAGCUCCGGCGGUGAAGGAUGAGCCCGCGGCCUAUCAGCUUGUUGGUGAGGUAGUGGCUCACCAAGGCGACGACGGGUAGCCGGCCUGAGAGGGCGACCGGCCACACUGGGACUGAGACACGGCCCAGACUCCUACGGGAGGCAGCAGUGGGGAAUAUUGCACAAUGGGCGAAAGCCUGAUGCAGCGACGCCGCGUGAGGGAUGACGGCCUUCGGGUUGUAAACCUCUUUCAGCAGGGAAGAAGCGAGAGUGACGGUACCUGCAGAAGAAGCGCCGGCUAACUACGUGCCAGCAGCCGCGGUAAUACGUAGGGCGCAAGCGUUGUCCGGAAUUAUUGGGCGUAAAGAGCUCGUAGGCGGCUUGUCACGUCGGGUGUGAAAGCCCGGGGCUUAACCCCGGGUCUGCAUUCGAUACGGGCUAGCUAGAGUGUGGUAGGGGAGAUCGGAAUUCCU